UUAAGCGACUAAGCGUACACGGUGGAUGCCCUGGCAGUCAGAGGCGAUGAAGGACGUGCUAAUCUGCGAUAAGCGUCGGUAAGGUGAUAUGAACCGUUAUAACCGGCGAUUUCCGAAUGGGGAAACCCAGUGUGUUUCGACACACUAUCAUUAACUGAAUCCAUAGGUUAAUGAGGCGAACCGGGGGAACUGAAACAUCUAAGUACCCCGAGGAAAAGAAAUCAACCGAGAUUCCCCCAGUAGCGGCGAGCGAACGGGGAGCAGCCCAGAGCCUGAAUCAGUGUGUGUGUUAGUGGAAGCGUCUGGAAAGGCGCGCGAUACAGGGUGACAGCCCCGUACACAAAAAUGCACAUGCUGUGAGCUCGAUGAGUAGGGCGGGACACGUGGUAUCCUGUCUGAAUAUGGGGGGACCAUCCUCCAAGGCUAAAUACUCCUGACUGACCGAUAGUGAACCAGUACCGUGAGGGAAAGGCGAAAAGAACCCCGGCGAGGGGAGUGAAAAAGAACCUGAAACCGUGUACGUACAAGCAGUGGGAGCACGCUUAGGCGUGUGACUGCGUACCUUUUGUAUAAUGGGUCAGCGACUUAUAUUCUGUAGCAAGGUUAACCGAAUAGGGGAGCCGAAGGGAAACCGAGUCUUAACUGGGCGUUAAGUUGCAGGGUAUAGACCCGAAACCCGGUGAUCUAGCCAUGGGCAGGUUGAAGGUUGGGUAACACUAACUGGAGGACCGAACCGACUAAUGUUGAAAAAUUAGCGGAUGACUUGUGGCUGGGGGUGAAAGGCCAAUCAAACCGGGAGAUAGCUGGUUCUCCCCGAAAGCUAUUUAGGUAGCGCCUCGUGAAUUCAUCUCCGGGGGUAGAGCACUGUUUCGGCAAGGGGGUCAUCCCGACUUACCAACCCGAUGCAAACUACGAAUACCGGAGAAUGUUAUCACGGGAGACACACGGCGGGUGCUAACGUCCGUCGUGAAGAGGGAAACAACCCAGACCGCCAGCUAAGGUCCCAAAGUCAUGGUUAAGUGGGAAACGAUGUGGGAAGGCCCAGACAGCCAGGAUGUUGGCUUAGAAGCAGCCAUCAUUUAAAGAAAGCGUAAUAGCUCACUGGUCGAGUCGGCCUGCGCGGAAGAUGUAACGGGGCUAAACCAUGCACCGAAGCUGCGGCAGCGACGCUGAUGCGUUGUUGGGUAGGGGAGCGUUCUGUAAGCCUGCGAAGGUGUGCUGUGAGGCAUGCUGGAGGUAUCAGAAGUGCGAAUGCUGACAUAAGUAACGAUAAAGCGGGUGAAAAGCCCGCUCGCCGGAAGACCAAGGGUUCCUGUCCAACGUUAAUCGGGGCAGGGUGAGUCGACCCCUAAGGCGAGGCCGAAAGGCGUAGUCGAUGGGAAACAGGUUAAUAUUCCUGUACUUGGUGUUACUGCGAAGGGGGGACGGAGAAGGCUAUGUUGGCCGGGCGACGGUUGUCCCGGUUUAAGCGUGUAGGCUGGUUUUCCAGGCAAAUCCGGAAAAUCAAGGCUGAGGCGUGAUGACGAGGCACUACGGUGCUGAAGCAACAAAUGCCCUGCUUCCAGGAAAAGCCUCUAAGCAUCAGGUAACAUCAAAUCGUACCCCAAACCGACACAGGUGGUCAGGUAGAGAAUACCAAGGCGCUUGAGAGAACUCGGGUGAAGGAACUAGGCAAAAUGGUGCCGUAACUUCGGGAGAAGGCACGCUGAUAUGUAGGUGAAGUCCCUCGCGGAUGGAGCUGAAAUCAGUCGAAGAUACCAGCUGGCUGCAACUGUUUAUUAAAAACACAGCACUGUGCAAACACGAAAGUGGACGUAUACGGUGUGACGCCUGCCCGGUGCCGGAAGGUUAAUUGAUGGGGUUAGCGCAAGCGAAGCUCUUGAUCGAAGCCCCGGUAAACGGCGGCCGUAACUAUAACGGUCCUAAGGUAGCGAAAUUCCUUGUCGGGUAAGUUCCGACCUGCACGAAUGGCGUAAUGAUGGCCAGGCUGUCUCCACCCGAGACUCAGUGAAAUUGAACUCGCUGUGAAGAUGCAGUGUACCCGCGGCAAGACGGAAAGACCCCGUGAACCUUUACUAUAGCUUGACACUGAACAUUGAGCCUUGAUGUGUAGGAUAGGUGGGAGGCUUUGAAGUGUGGACGCCAGUCUGCAUGGAGCCGACCUUGAAAUACCACCCUUUAAUGUUUGAUGUUCUAACGUGGACCCGUAAUCCGGGUUGCGGACAGUGUCUGGUGGGUAGUUUGACUGGGGCGGUCUCCUCCUAAAGAGUAACGGAGGAGCACGAAGGUUGGCUAAUCCUGGUCGGACAUCAGGAGGUUAGUGCAAUGGCAUAAGCCAGCUUGACUGCGAGCGUGACGGCGCGAGCAGGUGCGAAAGCAGGUCAUAGUGAUCCGGUGGUUCUGAAUGGAAGGGCCAUCGCUCAACGGAUAAAAGGUACUCCGGGGAUAACAGGCUGAUACCGCCCAAGAGUUCAUAUCGACGGCGGUGUUUGGCACCUCGAUGUCGGCUCAUCACAUCCUGGGGCUGAAGUAGGUCCCAAGGGUAUGGCUGUUCGCCAUUUAAAGUGGUACGCGAGCUGGGUUUAGAACGUCGUGAGACAGUUCGGUCCCUAUCUGCCGUGGGCGCUGGAGAACUGAGGGGGGCUGCUCCUAGUACGAGAGGACCGGAGUGGACGCAUCACUGGUGUUCGGGUUGUCAUGCCAAUGGCACUGCCCGGUAGCUAAAUGCGGAAGAGAUAAGUGCUGAAAGCAUCUAAGCACGAAACUUGCCCCGAGAUGAGUUCUCCCUGACUCCUUGAGAGUCCUGAAGGAACGUUGAAGACGACGACGUUGAUAGGCCGGGUGUGUAAGCGCAGCGAUGCGUUGAGCUAACCGGUACUAAUGAACCGUGAGGCUUAACCUU
rnacentral:rRNA from 2 species